ACGGAAGGCAGCAGUGAGGAAUACUGGUCAAUGGGCGGAAGCCUGAACCAGCCAAGUCGCGUGAAGGAUGAAGGUAUUAUGUAUUGUAAACUUCUUUAGCUGUGGAGCAAUAAUCUCCAUGUAUGGAGAGAUGAGAGUACACAGAGAAUAAGGAUCGGCUAACUCCGUGCCAGCAGCCGCGGUAAUACGGAGGAUCCGAGCGUUAUCCGGAUUUAUUGGGUUUAAAGGGUGCGCAGGCGGCUUUCUAAGUCAGUGGUCAAAUCGUGGUGCUCAACGCCAUCCCGCCAUUGAUACUGGAGAGCUUGAUUGCGGUCGAGGUUUGCGGAAUUCGUCGUGUAGCGGUGAAAUGCAUAGAUAUGACGAAGAACACCGAUUGCGUAGGCAGCAGACCAGGCCGUAAAUGACGCUCAUGCACGAAAGUGCGGGGAUCGAACAGGAUUAGAUACCCUGGUA
rnacentral:rRNA from 1 species